CCAACCAGUUUGUUCUUGUUCUAAGGUGUCACCCCACUCCCAGGACUGCCUGCCUUCUGUUUUGACUCUGUCCCUUUGGGCAGGAACACAGUGUUUAUAACUUUCUACAUGUGGAGUUUUUCCACUCAGCUGGAACAGACCUUGGUAAUUAAGGUUACAGAACAGGGGUUGAGUUCCAGCAAGAGGAGAGAAGAGCUGGGGAGAGGAGAAAACGGAGGAGGGGGAAACUGAGCCAAAGAGGGGUGAUGUGACUUGCUGAAGAUGACAUGCUCAGGAUGUGGUGGACAGGAGAUCAGAACUCCUGUCCUCUGACUCCAGCACCUGUGCUCACUGUGCAGGAAUCCUCCCUCUGAAGACAUGGCUGUAUAACACGUGCAUGAAGACAUCAUGCACAACCUCCUGUAUUUUCAAAAUAAGUGAUCUACAAGUGUAUAACCGAAAGACGCAUAGCUGUAUGAAUGGAGGUGUGUAUGUGUCUCUGCAGAUGCAAAUGUGGAACCCUUGGGUGUCCAUAUACUUGUCUAGGAAAUACAUAUACAUGGUUGAGAACUCAAAAGGCAUCAAAAGUUAUACAGUGACAAGUUGUAUGUUUUCUUUUGCCUUGAAGACUGAGAGCUCCCUGGGGGCGGAGCUCAGUGCCCGUCCCCCCGAAUCUGCCCAGCAUCUAGGUGUGAAGGUCAGCAGGCCUCAGGGCUGCCCAGGAAGAGGCUGGUGAGCAGGGCAGUCCGACAGCCCUCCUCGGUCGCAGGCUCCCUGAGCCGAGGGGAGGAGGCUGCUGACUCUAAAGAGGAUGUGAUGGACAGUUAUUGAAGGCACUCAGCUGGGGGCUCCACUCCAGUCUUAAUCUGAGCCGCCCUCGAGGAAAUCAUAACCAGCUCUUAAACACAUGUUAAGACCAAAGCUAGUGUGUGUGUUUGAGCAGCGCUUCAGACAGCUGCUUAAUACUGGGGCCCUCUGGGCCUUUGAUUUCUCCACCCUUCGCCUGGCCCUCUCCCCCCAUCUGGCUGGUGUUUAUCGGCCAAGACAUUGUUUAAAUCACACUCAUUUCCUAUAAACAUUUCACUUGAAAUGCCAUCCACUGCUCCAGAAAUUCAUCUAUCACCAGCUCAGGACUGUACUUGAGGAGCCUCGGGGUGAUGGCUCCCCACCUCUUCCUCCUGUCCCCCAUCAUCCCUCCUCCCCUGACCCAUAUUCUCAGGUUUCACGCCCUAAGAACAACUUCCCUUCAGUGUAACAGCACACUUAGUGCCAGGAUUAUUUAUAACAGUUGAGAUGGCAGCAGGCUACAGGGAACAACCCAGCCCACGGACACUGUCUCUUACAAAGCUCAAUAAAUGGACUUGGAUCGCUAU